GGGGUCGACUGGUUUUGACAGCAAGUGGCACUAAUUAGUAAGCAUGUCGAGCAUUGUAUUUUUGGCUCGUUAAUAUCAAUGAUACACACUUUUUAAACGGCGAAAAUACUUACGCUUUAGCUGCAUAAUCCGAAUUAUAGUACGAUAAUGCCAUGUCCCAACCAGGUUGGGAAGCUGGAUUUCUCUCAAAAGCCUUGGUUUGUGGCGGUUGAUUAAGAGGAAUGGUAAAAAUAAACCUAGGAAUGGUAAAACUUUAAAUCCACUCUGACAUUCAUAAAGUUAAGCAAAUAGUGGCUGUUUUUGGCCAAGCUAUUUUGUCGAAAAUCUAAACAAAAACUAAACAUGUAGAACGCUUUUUGAUGGCUUGUUUGGACGAGAGUUCGAUUCUCUCCGACUCCAC
rnacentral:tmRNA from 1 species